rnacentral:lncRNA from 1 species
AUGCAGGUAUAAUCCAGAAAGGAGCACAUAUUUUAAAUCUUACACAAAAAUCUGACUUCCCUGUAGAAUUCCAACCUGGUUUCUUUUGUUUUGUAACACAAAAGAAAGCUUGGGUAAAUAUGUAAAGAACUGAUUAUUCAUUAUUACUUAGCUAGUGGGUUUGGCUCUGACAUUUCCUUCUUUGUUUUCAUUCAGACUGCCUACCAAAUACUACAAAGCUCCUUUUGACAAUGCUAAGCAGGAAUAGACAUGAAGAAAAUCUGUGACUAUCUCAGACUGAUUUAGAAAGACAGUUUCAAAUUUGAGUAUUAAAAUGCUGGGCCAAUGCUGACUAAGAAAAGAAAUAAAAUUUGCAAAUAUGAGAUGUAUAGGAAAGAUGGAAGACCAAUUAAAAAUGAUAAAAAAUCAAAUUAAAAGCAUGAAAAUAUAGACAGAAGAAAUUUAGACUAGAAAUCUUCCAGAAAGUGAAGAGAUGCCACAGAAUUCUUAUUUAUUCUUUCCAAUGUUUUUCACAGAAUCUCAAAACUGGAUCACAAAUAUAAAGUAACAGUUUCAUUUCUCAGGGGAUAAAAUAUCAUCACUAAGGACACAUAAUUAAAACACAGAAGAAUGGAAAAAGCAAUUGAAAACAAAGCUGUAGGGGCCUCACUGGUGCCAAGAGUAGCAUAAAAUAGGUUUUCUAUUUCUGAGGAGAGUGAUUGUAGCAAAAGUAAAAGACUUGCAGCCGUAGGAAAAAGGACGCUGCAUGAGAGAGUCUUGGGUUUUUAAAGAAGAUGUGAUUAUAGAGGGAGGAUCCUCCAGCAGUAAAACACAUGCACAGGACAGUAGAACAUCUCUUACACACACCUCAAACCAUUCCUGCUGAAUGCAGAGACAAGGUGACUUUGCUGAGCAAAGGCCACAGUUUCAGACAUAUAUCUUUUGCUCAUCUUUUACAGCCAUCUGAAUAUACCACCAAAAUCUGAUGCACCAUGAAAUCUUCAAGAAACUCCUGCUCUGGGAUCUUUUGUUCAUUUUGCCACUUUUCACAUCUGAACUCCUCCCUCUUCAACAACCCAAAGCCACAGCAGACACAACUCGAAUGAAACAGUCCUUAAAAUCACCUUGUGAGACCUCAGUGUUUACCCACGAAAAUCUAGCUUGUGGAUCCACAGAAGUUCUGGGAAGAAUGAAUGGUAAGGACACAGGACCAAGUUUGAAGAGAAACAGAAAGAAGCACAAUGCAUUGACUUAUUUCCUCAAAUUCUGAAACUUUGCAUCACUGCAGAGAUGGUCUGGACUAUGUUAGAGCCUUGCUGACACAGUAGAUUUCAACAGAAAUCUCUCACUAAUAUACUCAACAAUCUGACUGCCGCUGGCAUAAAAGAAAACAUGCACGUGUGGCAACAGUGUAUGAGCACAUCUCUGGAAGGUCAAAAUAAUACUUCUGUGUUGAAGCACUUACUGCACGUCUUGUCAGGAACUACAAGGGUGUUUGCCUAACAGAGUUUCUAGAAGAAAAUACAGCAUAGGCAUUAAAAAAAAAAGGUGUUUAAUUCACAUUAAAAUAUAAUACUAUAGACAGAAAUGUUAACCUACUUUAGCUCUUCUCCAGCAAUGGGAUGAAAAGAGAUUUCAAGGUCAUCACUCAUCAUCAUUACAGCUUCAAAAAAACAGUCCCAACAAGAGCUGUAGAUAAGAAUUAUGUUUUUACCACUGUAUCAUCUAAUUCCUGUAGUUUUCAUAGGCGUACCGUGUGAUUUGGUUAUUUUUGCAGCCUUUUGCAUUUGCAGAUGUUCUAGCAAAUGGUAUUUAUUAGAGGAAUAUUCCCGUAUUGAAAAGAUGCAUAUUUCAAAUAGCAUGUUUCCCAGAUAAUGCAAAUUUGGAUGGGCUCAAUGAAAUGGAGAAAAGGUGAAAAAGAGGCCAGAUUGACCAAGAAGUAUUUGCUAAAGAAGUUCCUGAAGAGCAUGAUUUAACCAAAGCUUCUCAAUUUGUGUAGGCCAAGAAAGAGUAAAUAUGCAAAUGUAUUAUUUGUUUUGAACCACUUUUAAACUUCAAUAUUAUUUUUAGGAUCUUGG